rnacentral:rRNA from 1 species
GACGAACGCUGGCGGCGUGCUUAACACAUGCAAGUGGAGCGACGAACCAGGGCUUGCCCUGGGGCAGAGCCGCGAACGGGUGAGUAACACGUGGGUAACGUGCCCCGAUGACCGGGACAACCCGGGGAAACCCGGGCUAAUCCCGGAUGUGCUGUCCCAACAUCCGUUGGGAGUGGAAAGGAAGCUUCUGCCUCCGCAUCGGGAUCGCCCCGCGGCCCAUUAGCUUGGUGGUGAGGUAACGGCUCACCAAGGCUGCGAUGGGUAGCUGGUCUGAGAGGACGACCAGCCACACUGGGACUGAGACACGGCCCAGACUCCUACGGGAGGCAGCAGUGGGGAAUUUUGGACAAUGGGCGCAAGCCUGAUCCAGCCAUUCCGCGUGCAGGAUGAAGGCCCUCGGGUUGUAAACUGCUUUUGUACGGAACGAAAAGGCUUCCACUAAUACUGGGGGCUCAUGACGGUACCGUAAGAAUAAGCACCGGCUAACUACGUGCCAGCCGCCGCCGUAACAC